AUUGAACGCUAGCGGCAGGCCUAACACAUGCAAGUCGAACGAGUGGCGGACGGGUGAGUAAUAUCUCGGAACGUGCCCGGUAGCGGGGGAUAACUACUGGAAAGGGUAGCUAAUACCGCAUACUAUUGGAUGGGCCGAUAUGGGAUUAGCUAGUUGGUGGGGUAAAGGCUCACCAAGGCGACGAUCCCUAGCUGGUCUGAGAGGAUGACCAGCCACACUGGGACUGAGACACGGCCCAGACUCCUACGGGAGGCAGCAGUGGGGAAUAUUGGACAAUGGGGGAAAGCCUGAUGCAGCCAUGCCGCGUGUAUGAAGAAGGCCUUCGGGUUGUAAAGUACUUUUGGCAGGGAAGCGGUACCCGCAGAAGAAGCACCGGCUAACUACGUGCCAGCAGCCGCGGUAAUAC
rnacentral:rRNA from 1 species